CUUGGACCGGCACGUAGACACUGCGUCAAUGCAUAUCUCAGUAGGCUAUAUGUACACGGUAACGCAUCAGUUUCGGCAAACUUCUCAUACACAGCAGCUGAAUAUGGCUGAGAUUGCUAUGCGCUUUCUGAUAGUAUUGGUCACAUGCUCUUCGAUUUCCUUCACAGAAGGAGCUCAGAGUAUUUCAAGCGAUUUUUAUGGUAGCAAUGGUCUUGAAAUCAGCGGGAAAGAUUGGUGGCCGCGACCAAAAGGGCCCUGCCGGCGAAAAAAUGAAGUCCUCAAGCACUGCGUUGGUACGGGCUGCGAGGAGGCCAAGUGUUGGAAGCCUACGAUUGGUCCGGUCUGCCACUACGACUGCAAGAGCGGCUGCUUUUGUGCGAAAGGUUUCUACAGAGACUAUCGAGGAAAGUGCGUUUCCUGGAAUAAGUGCCUCAAGCAGACGUACCCUUGGUACCCGGGUGGGCAGUACUCAUGGUUGCCGUCCGCGGAGCCUCUCUACACUGGAAUGGUCCCUGUGGCGUUCUAGCAGGCAAUCGACAUACUGAGCACGGUUGGAAAUGCCUUUUUAAAGGCUUAAUAGGCGAAUAAAGAUGAC